rnacentral:rRNA from 1 species
AAAUUGAAGAGUUUGAUCAUGGCUCAGAUUGAACGCUGGCGGCAGGCCUAACACAUGCAAGUCGAACGGUAGCACAGAGAGCUUGCUCUCGGGUGACGAGUGGCGGACGGGUGAGUAAUGUCUGGGAAACUGCCUGAUGGAGGGGGAUAACUACUGGAAACGGUGGCUAAUACCGCAUAACGUCGCAAGACCAAAGAGGGGGACCUUCGGGCCUCUUGCCAUCAGAUGUGCCCAGAUGGGAUUAGCUAGUUGGUGAGGUAACGGCUCACCAAGGCGACGAUCCCUAGCUGGUCUGAGAGGAUGACCAGCCACACUGGAACUGAGACACGGUCCAGACUCCUACGGGAGGCAGCAGUGGGGAAUAUUGCACAAUGGGCGCAAGCCUGAUGCAGCCAUGCCGCGUGUAUGAAGAAGGCCUUCGGGUUGUAAAGUACUUUCAGCGGGGAGGAAGGUGUUGUGGUUAAUAACCGCAGCAAUUGACGUUACCCGCAGAAGAAGCACCGGCUAACUCCGUGCCAGCAGCCGCGGUAAUACGGAGGGUGCAAGCGUUAAUCGGAAUUACUGGGCGUAAAGCGCACGCAGGCGGUCUGUCAAGUCGGAUGUGAAAUCCCCGGGCUCAACCUGGGAACUGCAUUCGAAACUGGCAGGCUUGAGUCUUGUAGAGGGGGGUAGAAUUCCAGGUGUAGCGGUGAAAUGCGUAGAGAUCUGGAGGAAUACCGGUGGCGAAGGCGGCCCCCUGGACAAAGACUGACGCUCAGGUGCGAAAGCGUGGGGAGCAAACAGGAUUAGAUACCCUGGUAGUCCACGCCGUAAACGAUGUCUACUUGGAGGUUGUGCCCUUGAGGCGUGGCUUCCGGAGCUAACGCGUUAAGUAGACCGCCUGGGGAGUACGGCCGCAAGGUUAAAACUCAAAUGAAUUGACGGGGGCCCGCACAAGCGGUGGAGCAUGUGGUUUAAUUCGAUGCAACGCGAAGAACCUUACCUGGUCUUGACAUCCACGGAAAUUUUCAGAGAUGAGAAUGUGCCUUCGGGAAC